GACAGAGGGUGCAAACGUUGUUCGGAAUUACUGGGCGUAAAGCGUGUGUAGGCGGCCGCGUAAGUCGGAUGUGAAAGCCCUGGGCUCAACCCAGGAAGUGCACUCGAUACUGCGUGGCUCGAGUACUGGAGAGGUUGGUGGAAUUCUCGGUGUAGAGGUGAAAUUCGUAGAUAUCGAGAGGAACACCGGUGGCGAAGGCGGCCAACUGGACAGAUACUGACGCUGAGACACGAAAGCGUGGGAGCAAACAGG
rnacentral:rRNA from 1 species